GCCGGGAUGGUGAAAUUGGUAGACACGCUUGACUUAGGAUCAAGUGCCGCAAGGUGUGCAGGUUCGAGUCCUGUUCCCGGUA
rnacentral:tRNA from 1 species